rnacentral:rRNA from 1 species
UACGGAGGGUGCGAGCGUUGUCCGGAAUCAUUGGGCGUAAAGGGCGCGUAGGCGGCUUCUCAAGCGUGCGGUGAAAGUCGGGGGCUCAACCCCUGAUCGGCCGUGCGAACUGGGGGGCUGGAGCACUGUAGAGGCAGGCGGAAUUCCGGGUGUAGCGGUGGAAUGCGUAGAGAUCCGGAAGAACACCGGUGGCGAAGGCGGCCUGCUGGGCAGUUAGCUGACGCUGAGGCGCGACAGCGUGGGGAGCAAACAGG